CCUACGGGAGGCAGCAGUGGGGGAUAUUGCACAAUGGGGGAAACCCUGAUGCAGCAACGCCGCGUGCGUGAAGAAGUAUUUCGGUAUGUAAAGCUCUAUCAGCAGGGAAGAGAAUGACGGUACCUGACUAAGAAUCCCCGGCUAACUACGUGCCAGCAGCCGCGGUAAUACGUAGGGGGCGAGCGUUAUCCGGAUUUACUGGGUGGAAAGGGAGCGUAGACGGCUGGUCAAGUCUGAAGUGAAAGCCCGGGGCUUAACCCCGGAACGGCUUUGGAAACUGAGCAGCUAGAGUGAUGGAGAGGUAAGCGGAAUUCCUAGUGUAGCGGUGAAAUGCGUAGAUAUUAGGAGGAACACCAGUGGCGAAGGCGGCUUACUGGACAGUAACUGACGUUGAGGCUCGAAAGCGUGGGGAGCAAACAGGAUUAGAUACCCGAGUAGUC
rnacentral:rRNA from 1 species